AGAGUUUGAUUCUGGCUCAGGAUGAACGCUGGCGGCGUGCUUAACACAUGCAAGUCGAACGAGAGAAGAUUGGUGCUUGCACUGAUCCGAUCGAGUGGCGGACGGGUGAGUAACGCGUGGGUAACCUGCCUCAUACAGGGGAAUAACAGUUGGAAACGGCUGCUAAAACCGCAUAAGCGCACAGUAUCGCAUGAUACAGUGUGAAAAACUCCGGUGGUAUGAGAUGGACCCGCGUCUGAUUAGCUAGUUGGUGAGGUAACGGCCCACCAAGGCGACGAUCAGUAGCCGGCCUGAGAGGGUGAACGGCCACAUUGGGACUGAGACACGGCCCAAACUCCUACGGGAGGCAGCAGUGGGGAAUAUUGCACAAUGGGGGAAACCCUGAUGCAGCGACGCCGCGUGAGUGAUGAAGUAUUUCGGUAUGUAAAGCUCUAUCAGCAGGGAAGAUAAUGACGGUACCUGACUAAGAAGCACCGGCUAAAUACGUGCCAGCAGCCGCGGUAAUACGUAUGGUGCAAGCGUUAUCCGGAUUUACUGGGUGUAAAGGGUGCGUAGGUGGUGAGACAAGUCUGAAGUGAAAAUCCGGGGCUUAACCCCGGAACUGCUUUGGAAACUGCCUGACUAGAGUACAGGAGAGGUAAGUGGAAUUCCUAGUGUAGCGGUGAAAUGCGUAGAUAUUAGGAGGAACACCAGUGGCGAAGGCGACUUACUGGACUGCUACUGACACUGAGGCACGAAAGCGUGGGGAGCAAACAGAAUUAGAUACCCUGGUAGUCCACGCCGUAAACGAAGAAUAAUAGGUGUCGGGGCCCAAAAGGCUUCGGUGCCGCAGCCAACGCAAUAAAGUAUUCCCCCUGGGGAGUGCGUUCGCAAGAAUGAAACUCAAAGGAAAUGACGGGGACCCGCACAAGCGGUGGAGCAUGUGGUUUAAUUCGAAGCAACGCGAAGAACCUUACCAAGUCUUGACAUCCUGCUGACCGUUCCUUAACCGGAACUUUCCUUCGGGACAGCAGAGACAGGUGGUGCAUGGUUGUCGUCAGCUCGUGUCGUGAGAUGUUGGGUUAAGUCCCGCGACGAGCGCAACCCCUAUUUCCAGUAGCCAGCAGUCAGAUGGGCACUCUGGAGAGACUGCCGGGGAUAACCCGGAGGAAGGUGGGGAUGACGUCAAAUCAUCAUGCCCCCUAUGAUUUGGGCUACACACGUGCUACAAUGGCAGUUACAAAGAGAAGCGAAACUGUGAAGUGGAGCAAACCUCAAAAAGGCUGUCUCAGUUCGGAUUGUAGUCUGCAACUCGACUACAUGAAGCUGGAAUCGCUAGUAAUCGCAGAUCAGAAUGCUGCGGUGAAUAAAAUCCCGGGUCUUGCAC
rnacentral:rRNA from 1 species